rnacentral:rRNA from 1 species
ACUCAAAUGAAUUGACGGGGGCCCGCACAAGCGGUGGAGCAUGCGGUUUAAUUCGAUGCAACGCGAAGAACCUUACCUACUCUUGACAUCUUCGGAAUCCUCUGGAAACAGGGGAGUGCCUUCGGGAACCGAGAGACAGGUGCUGCAUGGCUGUCGUCAGCUCGUGUCGUGAGAUGUUGGGUUAAGUCCCGUAACGAGCGCAACCCUCGUCCUUAGUUGCCAGCACGUAAUGGUGGGAACUCUAAGGAGACCGCCGGUGAUAAACCGGAGGAAGGUGGGGAUGAUGUCAAGUCAUCAUGGCCCUUAUGAGUAGGGCUACACGCGUGCUACAAUGGACAGUACAAAGGGUUGCGAAGCCGCGAGGUGGAGCUAAUCCCAAAAAGCUGUUCGUAGUCCGGAUUGGAGUCUGCAACUCGACUCCAUGAAGUUGGAAUCGCUAGUAAUCGCGAAUCAGAACGUCGCGGUGAAUACGUUCUCGGGCCUUGUACACACCGCCCGU